GACGAACCGUGCGAACGUUAUUCGGAAUCACUGGGCUUAAAGCGCGUGUAGGCGGGCCGCCGCGUCGGCUGCUGAAAUCCCCCGGCUCAACCGGGGAACGGGCACCGAUACGGGCGGCCUCGAGGGGGGUAGGGGGGUCUGGAACUUCCGGUGGAGCGGUGAAAUGCGUUGAGAUCGGAAGGAACGCCCGUGGCGAAAGCGAGGCCCUGGACCCUUCUGACGCUGAGACGCGAAAGCCAGGGGAGCGAACGGG
rnacentral:rRNA from 1 species